AGAAACAUGGUUUAAAUAAAACAUUAAGUUGCAAACUUAAAGAUGGUAACCUCCUGUUUUUU
rnacentral:tRNA from 1 species